AACUCUAGUGGCGGACGGGUGAGUAACACGUGAGAAUUUACCUUUAGGAGGGGGAUAACAAUUGGAAACGAUUGCUAAUACCCCAUAUGCUUUUGAGUGAAAUGGAUUUAUAUUUAUCCGCCUAGAGAGAAGCUCGCGGCUGACUAGCUUGUUGGUAAGGUAAGAGCUUACCAAGGCGACGAUCAGUAUCUGGUUUGAGAGGACGAUCAGACACACUGGAACUGAGACACGGUCCAG
rnacentral:rRNA from 1 species